AAAAGAUGAAUUGAAAGCUGAACUACAAAUUGCCAUGCAACAGUUUGUUGACAGAAUCGAUGAAAAUGGCAUGCCUGUAUUUAAGGCUGGCAUUCAUUUGCAAGUUAUUCCCUAUAUCGCUAAUACACUCAUACCCAGAGUUCAGAGUAACAUAGGCGCCGAUUGCGUUCAGCAAGUGAAGGCUAAUUUCCUAAAACUCAUCAAAGCUCACUUCAGUAAAUUAAUGAGCGCACUUCAUAUGCUGUAAUUGCCACAAUGAGGAUUGUGAAAUUUCCAAGUUAUUUUAAAUAAAUUGCACAUAUACCUUA
rnacentral:sRNA from 1 species